CCACAUCCCUUAUAGAAACAGCAAACUCACUUUACUCUUGCAGAACUCUUUAGGUGGACAUGUGAAAACGUUGAUGUUUGCUCAUGUCAGUCCUGAAGGGGAUUCCUUUGGAGAAACAAUUAGUACUCUGAAGUUUGCGCAGAGGGUUUCGAGUUUGGAACUUGGUGCAGCUCGUUUAAAUAAAUAGAGCGUCGAAGUUUUAGAGCUCAAGGCAGAGAUCGAGACCCUCAAAAAGGCAUUGGCUAACAAGGAAGCACCAAUUCCUCAAACUAACAAACCAAAGGAAGCAUCAAGGACACCUUUCCAGAAGCCUAAAGCAACAGCUGAGCUUCAGGAAGGAUAUGAUGUAACAAAAUUGUAUGAUCAAGUAGGUAAUGAUAGUUUCAUGAAGACUCCUCCGAGUCCACCUUUUGCUUUUAGAAGCCAGGAUACUCCUCAAACUCCAGCUUCUGGUCUCAAAUACCAGUAAGCUCCUCGGAGUCCAACUUCUGGUUUUAAAAGCCAACAGCCUCCUCGGAGUCCAACUUCUGGUUUCAAAAGCAAGCAUGCUCCUCUGAGUCCAACUUCCACCUAUAAAAGUCAGUAGCUUCCUCGAAGUCCAACUUCUUGUUUCAAAAGCCAGCAGGCACCUCGGAGUCCAACUUCCGCUUUGAAGAGUUGCAAUGCACCUAGGAGUCCAACAAGUGCUGCCAUCAAAAGCCAGGUUGUGAAAACAACAGAUAACAGAACAAGGAUUCCUUCUCUUCAACUACCCAAGACACCCGAGCCACUGAUAACCUUUAUAAGUGAGAACAAGGCAGGAAUGCAAAGUAACCGUACCAUUUCAUCUGAAUUCCAGAAGCCUUUGACUAGCAGUACUCAUGGAAAGGGAUCUCAAAUAUGAAGAUCACUUUGGAUUAUUGGGAAACUGAUUAAUGGUUCUGAUAGAAAGAACCAACAGAAAAGGACUGAAGCAGCAGCCCCAUUAUCACCUUUUAGUUGCCAAUAUGAGGAGAAGUCAUCAAUGACAUCUAAUGCAAGGACACUGAGAAGACAAUCCUUAACUGGCAUCCCACUACCAACCAUGUCGAGAAGAUCUUUACUUGGAGGAGGGAGCGUUCCGGAUUUUUGUGCAAAUGAAAAUAGAAAUUGCAAAACUCUAGGCGCGUCAGCCAAGUUAACAAAGAGGUGGCUAUGAGGAAACAACACUAAGUAGUUAACACCAAGAAGCUGAUACAUGAAAUAAAGAUUGAAAGACAUAAAUAGCUGGAAAGGGAGAUUAAAAGAAGUCAGUCCACCUCAGCAACCAGUUCAAGAAAGUAAUUAUAACUGCCAAUUAGUUAGACAGUUUUUUUUACUGUCACUGUUCAUUCUCAAAUCAGUUAAAAGUAGUUACAAUUGUAUUCAUAGUGUAUUCCAUUUUCAGAUAAAUAGGGAAUUUGUGCAAUAAAGAAUCAUCAAUAACAAAUAUCAAUUUUUGUUCUAAA